rfam:Pichia pastoris GS115 chromosome 4, complete sequence
GUAAAUGAUGAUUUGCACAAUCACGACGGUCUACUGUAGAUUAACCAUGUUAAGUUAAUCGUUUGAUGAUCCUCGGCUGUGACAAGCCGUGCUGCUGACU